UGUGGAGGGCACUGGUGUUAGUUAAUAGUGUGCUGCUGUGGUUGCUCUUUAAUGUGCUACUGCAUUUCUGCUGUGUGCAGGAGCCAGAGUUGUGGGCUGCAAAUUCUGCUUGUUACAAACACUGGUGAUAAAGCAGAGCUCCUAUUUCAGGCAGUGCUUUCCAGGAUAAGGAUUACAUUUUUGAGGGAGGACUUGCAAGAACAGAGAGCAGAAGUUCUGUCACUGUGCAUCACUGAGAAGAGUUGAUCCAUGUCCUCUUGAUACCACAUCAUCAGAUAUUUGUCGGUAUUAAGAAGAUUCCCCUGAGCCCCAUCUUCUCCAGGAUGAACAGCCACAGCGCUCUCAGCCUUUCCUCAUAUGAGAGCUGCUCCAGUGCUAUCCCAUCUUUGUGGCCCUUCACUGGACUCAAUCCCAUAGGUUUAUGUCUUGGCAGGGGAGCCUGGAAAGAGAUCAGUACUCCAGAUACAGCCUCACUAGGGCUGAGUUGAGGUGAGGGACUACGUCCCUCGACCAUCUGGCAAUGUUCUGCAUAAUGUAGUCCAGAAGACUAUUGGCCUUCUUUACUGUGAAGGCACAUUGCUGGCUCAYGUUCAACUUGUUGCCUACCAAGACCUCAGGUCCUUCUCUGCAGAGCUGCCGCCUUUGGUUGAGGCUGCAAAGCUCAGGAAUCAUCAUCAGCACUCRGCAUGAAUCCAAAAAGAGAGGAUAAGAACUUUUCAGUUGCUCUUCCUUGCCCUCUGUGACCCAAGAAGUAAUCUUGGACAAGUAUUGGACGUUCAAUYGUUCUUUCAUACCCGUAAACUCUAAGACAUGUGAGAAACCAUGGAGAAUGAGAGUGAAUGAGGGAAAUCAGUUUCUUUUAAAAUAUAAAUCCACUUUGAUUAUAUGGCUUUUCCUUCAGUUUUUUUAACCUGUAUACUUUGUAUAAAGCCUACCAAAGCACCUGUUUUUGCUACAGUCUUUUCUGUAGCUGCCUUCAAGAAAAAAGGAUUCUUCUCCAAAUUCUGGAGGCACCUGGUGAUUUGCUGGAAUUUGUACAGUCUGCAAUAGCAAGGGUAAGGGGGAGAGUGUGGAGAGGAGGAGAAAAGAAAAAACCCUCCAACACAGCUCCUAGGCAGGGAGGUCCCUCCCCUAAAAUGAUGUGAAACAAUUUGGAGUUGAAAGUAAAUGAGCUAAUAAAUGGUACAAAGAUUAUUGACUCACCAUUAGCAAAGUUAUGUGGUGAAAUUAAGUAAUUUCAAACUAAAACUAAUCCUAUCCUGCUCCCAAUUUUGUAAUGGCCCUGUCAAGAUAUUACACUAGCUUAGUUGUUUCCUUGUAAAAUGCAUCAAUUUUUUUGAC